AUUGAACGCUGGCGGCAGGCCUAACACAUGCAAGUCGAGCGGAUGAAGGGAGCUUGCUCCUGGAUUCAGCGGCGGACGGGUGAGUAAUGCCUAGGAAUCUGCCUGGUUGUGGGGGAUAACGUCAGGAAACGGGCGCUAAUACUGCAUACGUCCUGAGGGUGAAAGUGGGGGAUCUUCGGACCUUAUGCUAUCAGAUGAGCCUAGGUCGGAUUAGCUAGUUGGUGGGGUAAAGGCCUACCAAGGCGACGUUCCGUAACUGGUCUGAGAGGAUGAUCAGUCACACUGGAACUGAGACGCGGUCCAGGCUCCUACGGGAGGCAGCAGUGGGGAAUAUUGGACAAUAGGCGGAAGCCUGAUCCAACCAUGCCGCGUGUGUGAAGAAGGUCUUCGGAUUGUAAAGCACUUUAAGUGGGGAGGAAGGGCAGUAAGUUAAUACCUUGCUGGUUUGACGGUACCAACAGAAUAAGCACCGGCUAACUUCGUG
rnacentral:rRNA from 1 species